UGUGUAAUCAGACAGUAUGGC
rnacentral:siRNA from 1 species